UACAGAGGGUGCAAGCGUUGUUCGGAAUUAUUGGGCGUAAAGGGCGCGUAGGCGGUGCUAUAAGUCUGUGGUGAAAUCCCCGGGCUCAACCUGGGAAUGGCAGUGGAUACUGGCAAGCUAGAGUGCGGUAGAGGGUAGUGGAAUUCCCGGUGUAGCAGUGAAAUGCGUAGAGAUCGGGAGGAACACCAGUGGCGAAGGCGGCUACCUGGACCAGCACUGACACUGAAGCACGAAAGCGUGGGGAGCAAACAGG
rnacentral:rRNA from 1 species